GAUGAACGCUAGCGGCAGGCCUAACACAUGCAAGUCGAGGGGUAGAAGGAGCUUGCUCCUUUGAGACCGGCGCACGGGUGCGUAACGCGUAUGCAAUCUACCUUGUACAGGGGAAUAGCCCAGAGAAAUUUGGAUUAAUGCCCCAUAGUAUAUAACCUUCGCAUGUUGGUUAUAUUAAAGUUCCAACGGUACAAGAUGAGCAUGCGUCCCAUUAGUUAGUUGGUAAGGUAACGGCUUACCAAGACGAUGAUGGGUAGGGGUCCUGAGAGGGAGAUCCCCCACAAGGGUACUGAGACACGGACCAGACUCCUACGGGAGGCAGCAGUGAGGAAUAUUGGUCAAUGGUCGCAAGACUGAACCAGCCAUGCCGCGUGCAGGAAGACGGUCCUAUGGAUUGUAAACUGCUUUUAUACAGGAAGAAACCCUCCCACGUGUGGGAGCUUGACGGUACUGUAGGAAUAAGGAUCGGCUAACUCCGUG
rnacentral:rRNA from 1 species